rnacentral:rRNA from 1 species
GACGAACGCUGGCGGCGUGCCUAAUACAUGCAAGUCGAACGAGAGCGACCGGUGCUUGCACUGGUCAAUCUAGUGGCGAACGGGUGAGUAACACGUGGGUAACCUGCUCAUCAGAGGGGGAUAACAUCCGGAAACGGAUGCUAAAACCGCAUAGGUCUUCGAGCCGCAUGGCUUGAAGAGGAAAAGAGGCGCAAGCUUCUGCUGAUGGAUGGACCCGCGGUGCAUUAGCUAGUUGGUGAGGUAACGGCUCACCAAGGCCGUGAUGCAUAGCCGACCUGAGAGGGUGAUCGGCCACAUUGGGACUGAGACACGGCCCAAACUCCUACGGUAGGCAGCAGUAGGGAAUCUUCCGCAAUGGACGCAAGUCUGACGGAGCAACGCCGCGUGAGUGAAGAAGGUGUUCGGAUCGUAAAACUCUGUUGUUAGAGAAGAACAAGUGCUAGAGUAACUGUUAGCGCCUUGACGGUAUCUAACCAGAAAGCCACGGCUAACUACGUG